UACGUAGGGUGCAAGCGUUGCCCGGAUUUAUUGGGCGUAAAGGGCGCGUAGGCGGCCCGGCAAGUCAUGCGUGAAAGCUCCCCGGCUCAACUGGGGAGGGGUCGUGUGAGACUGCCGGGCUAGAGCACGGUAGGGGGCAGUGGAAUUCCCGGUGUAGCGGUGAAAUGCGCAGAUAUCGGGAAGAACACCUAUGGCGAAGGCAGCUCUCUGGGACGGUACUGACGCUGAGGAGCGAAAAGCGUGGGGAGCGAACAGG
rnacentral:rRNA from 1 species